rnacentral:rRNA from 1 species
AGGAUGAACGCUGGCGGCGUGCUUAACACAUGCAAGUCGAACGGUGAAGCCAAGCUUGCUUGGUGGAUCAGUGGCGAACGGGUGAGUAACACGUGAGCAACCUGCCCUGGACUCUGGGAUAAGCGCUGGAAACGGUGUCUAAUACUGGAUAUGAGCUCUCAUCGCAUGGUGGGGGUUGGAAAGAUUUUUCGGUCUGGGAUGGGCUCGCGGCCUAUCAGCUUGUUGGUGAGGUAAUGGCUCACCAAGGCGUCGACGGGUAGCCGGCCUGAGAGGGUGACCGGCCACACUGGGACUGAGACACGGCCCAGACUCCUACGGGAGGCAGCAGUGGGGAAUAUUGCACAAUGGGCGGAAGCCUGAUGCAGCAACGCCGCGUGAGGGAUGACGGCCUUCGGGUUGUAAACCUCUUUUAGCAGGGAAGAAGCGAGAGUGACGGUACCUGCAGAAAAAGCGCCGGCUAACUACGUGCCAGCAGCCGCGGUAAUACGUAGGGCGCAAGCGUUAUCCGGAAUUAUUGGGCGUAAAGAGCUCGUAGGCGGUUUGUCGCGUCUGCUGUGAAAUCCCGAGGCUCAACCUCGGGCCUGCAGUGGGUACGGGCAGACUAGAGUGCGGUAGGGGAGAUUGGAAUUCCUGGUGUAGCGGUGGAAUGCGCAGAUAUCAGGAGGAACACCGAUGGCGAAGGCAGAUCUCUGGGCCGUAACUGACGCUGAGGAGCGAAAGGGUGGGGAGCAAACAGGCUUAGAUACCCUGGUAGUCCACCCCG